UGGGGAAUCUUGCGCAAUGCGCGAAAGCGUGACGCAGCAACGCCGCGUGGGGGAAGAAGGCCUUCGGGUUGUAAACCCCUUUCAGUUGGGACGAAGCUCCGUCGGUGAAUAGCCGGCUGGAGUGACGGUACCUUCACAAGAAGCCCCGGCUAACUACGUGCCAGCAGCCGCGGUAAUACGUAGGGGGCUAGCGUUGUCCGGAAUCAUUGGGCGUAAAGAGCGUGUAGGCGGCCCGGUAAGUCCGCUGUGAAAGUCGGGGGCUCAACCCUCGAAAGCCGGUGGAUACUGUCGGGCUAGAGUGCGGAAGAGGCGAGUGGAAUUCCUGGUGUAGCGGUGAAAUGCGCAGAUAUCAGGAGGAACACCGAUUGCGAAGGCAGCUCGCUGGGACGUAACUGACGCUGAGACGCGAAAGCGUGGGGAGCAAACAGG
rnacentral:rRNA from 1 species